rnacentral:tRNA from 1 species
GGCUCAAUGGUCUAGAGGUAUGAUUCCUGCUUUGGGUUACGAAAGUAGCGCCUGCUUGCAGGAGGUCCCGGGUUCGAUCCCCGGUUGAGCCC